GCAAAUCUCUUAAAACCGUUCUCAGUUCGGACUGCAGGCUGCAACUCGCCUGCACGAAGUCGGAAUCGCUAGUAAUCGCGGAUCAGCAUGCCGCGGUGAAUACGUUCCCGGGCCUUGUACACACCGCCCGUCACACCAUGAGAGUUUGUAACACCCAAAGUCGGUGGGGUAACCUUUUAGGAGCCAGCCGCCUAAGGUGGGACAGAUGAUUAGGGUGAAGUCGUAACAAGGUAGCCGUAGGAGAACCUGCGGCUGGAUCACCUCCUUUCUAAGGAA
rnacentral:rRNA from 1 species